AUUUCUAUAUACUUCAACAUGCAUAAAUCAUCUAUAACAUGUGUAAAAGAGGAUUGAACACAUAUUUUCCUGUCCACUCAUCUUCUUUUCGGCUAGGGGUUGAAAUUGCACAAAGAAUGGUUUGCUUGUUCCAACAACUACUCCAUGUUACUUAGGACCUUCAAAUUAGUAGAAAGGCUAGAAGAAAUAAUUUUUUGAUCAAUCUUUCAAGGGAUGGAUUUUUUUGGGGAUAUGGCCGAAUCCCUUUCCUCUUCUUUCUCCUUUUUUUUUUUUUUUCUUCAAGGUUCUAGAGUUGGAAAAUGAAUGAAUGAUAUGUCUUGUUUGCCCCCACUUAUCUAUAUAUAUAGUUAUUGUAGGCAUGUGAGGGGCAAAUGCCCCAUUUCCAGAAUUUUCUUAAAAAUUCUAGCAAAGAUGACUUAUUUGUCUUUAUUUUCUUUUUCUUUCUUUUCUUUUUUCUCACAUGGCCAAUAUGGCCCUUUUUGAACUUUCAAGAAACUUAUGUGAAAUUCUCGUUUUGCCCCUCGACUUUCCUCAAUAUUACCAUUUUGCCUCUAGCCUUCCAUAUUAUUUCCAUGACCCAUUUUGCGAAUUUCUCUUCUUGCCCUUAGCCUCUCAUAAUAUUUUCAUACUAAUAAUAGUCAUAAAUAAUAUUCCUAACAACUUGUACAUUAAUAUAAUUUUUGAAAAUAGUCUCGCCCUUAACUUUCCACGACGACUUUAAAAUAUUCAAACGUACAAAAUACGGGCUAUAACACUUAUAGCCCUUACUUGCUUACAAGAUACAAUUGUCACAUUAAUGUCGAGGUCUGCUCUGGAGUAAAAGCAAUAAAGUAUCUUUACAAGUAUAUAGAUAAAGGUCAUGAUAGGUGUGUCGUUUAUGUUGAGUCUGAUAAUGGAGCAAAAGUAAUUGAUGAGAUACAAACUUUCCAAGGUGCCCGGUGGGCUUCCCCUCCCUAAGCUCUUUGGAGAAUUUAUGAAUUCAACUUGAGUGAAAUGCAACCUCCAGUCAUCAGCCUACAACUACAUCUCCCUGGAAAACACUCAGUGUUUUAUUGGAAGAAGCAAAAUUUGCAAAACAUUAUCCCGUGGGAUAGCGUCAGGCAAACCAUGAUGAUCGAGUAUUUCAAGAUGUGCUCCAAAGACCUUGAAGCAUGUACAUACCUUUAUAGAGAAUUCCCUAAGUACUUGUGUGGAAUCCACAGGGAAAGGCUUGGACAAAAAGAAAAACUAGAUCUAUAAUUGGUCGCAUUGCAACUGGUAAGGCAUAUAGUACCACUAUGUACCUUUAUACACAACAUCUACCAUUAAACUACUUUAUUAACAUUCAUUACAUACUGCAGCUAAUCCUAAGAAAGGCGAAAGGUAUUAUGAGCGGUUAUUAUUAAACCAUGUAAGAGGACCAUUAUCAUUUAAGGACUUACUCACUAUCAGUGGAAGGUAAUGUCAGACCUUUAAAGAAGCAGCCAGAGAAAGAGGGUUAUUAGAAUCGGACAACAACAUAUCAGAAUGCUUGGGAGAGGCUGUUCUAUUCAAAAUGCCAUCAGCCCUACGUGUAGAGAAAUAUAGCACAAGAAAAGUAAAUCGGAGAAACCUUCUGCUAGCCCAAGAUCGUUACUAAGAUUGGAAGAUUCAACUAAAGAAGAGGAAGUUAUGAAAAGGAGAAUUUGGUUGAAGAAGACUUUAUUGAAUUGGCUUGAAUGACUUACAAUUAGGUUUGGCUUGGGUUACAAAUGCCUAAUGUCACUCCUAUUUAUACUUGUCUAGGGAUGCUUCUAGAUAUUAUUCUAGAUAUAUCCAUAAGAAAAAUCUAAUCAUCUUUAUCUCCUACCACUACUCUAGAAUAUCUAGAUUUUUCUUUAGGAUAAUUAUCCAAGAUCCUACACUAGACUAUUCUAGAUAAUUCUAUCCUCAACUAUAAAUAUCUAAUUGUCUAGAAUUUCUAGACAUUUCCUAAUACAAUAUCUAUCAAAGAUAUUACAUUAUAACUUUC